AUUGAACGCUGGCGGCGUGCCUAACACAUGCAAGUCGAGCGGUAAGGCCCUUUCGGGGGUACACGAGCGGCGAACGGGUGAGUAACACGUGGGUGACCUGCCCUCAGCUCUGGGAUAAGCCUGGGAAACCGGGUCUAAUACUGGAUAUGACUCCAUGACGCAUGUUGUGGGGUGGAAAGCCUUGUGCGGCUGAGGAUGGGCCCGCGGCCUAUCAGCUUGUUGGUGGGGUGAUGGCCUACCAAGGCGACGACGGGUAGCCGGCCUGAGAGGGCGACCGGCCACACUGGGACUGAGACACGGCCCAGACUCCUACGGGAGGCAGCAGUGGGGAAUCUUGCGCAAUGGGCGCAAGCCUGACGAAGCAACGCCGCGUAGAGGAUGAAGGCCCUCGCGGUCGUAAACUCUUGUCUAGCGGGACGAAACCUCCAUAAGUGAAUAACUUAUGAAUUGACUGUACCGCUGGAGGAAGCUCCGGCCAACUCCGUGCCAGCCGCCGCGGU
rnacentral:rRNA from 1 species